rnacentral:misc_RNA from 1 species
GAAAUGCGAUACGUAAUGCGAAUUGCAGAAUUCAGUGAAUCAUCGAAUCUUUGAACGCAAAUUGCGCUCUCGGGUUACCCCCAAGAGCACACCUCUCUGAGUGUCGGUUUAACCAAAUGUCACCAAUUUAUUGGUGUACGACAGUCUGAGGGUAAGGGGUUUCGGCCUCUUUCCCUUUAAAUUUCAGCCGCACGACUGUGUGUGUUCGUGGCAAGUUGCUUUCACUUAACUGUGAAUCCAAUCCAUGAACCCUAUGUUAUGUAGCCAAAGAAACAAAUGAACAAAGUUGUGAAUCUGAGAAGCUUGCUUCAAGGGUCUGUGAUUUUGUGCAUCUAUGAAUUAGACCUCAGAUGAAGUGGGAAGACCCCCUGAAUUUAA